GCAAUCUUGGAUAAUGGAUCAGCUACAAAGUAACAACACUUGGUCAGCACUCCAUAAGGAACAUUCAUGCUAUGUUUGGUUUAAUUCCAUUUAGUGGUUCUCUAAAAGAAGUCAUUUGUAUGCAUUUCCCAUAGGGUCCUAUGUUAAACUAAGUCCCCCGCUGGCGGCCAUCUUGGAUGAUGGAUCGGCUACAAAGUAACAACACUUGGUCAGCACCCCAUAAGGAUAAUUCAUGCCAUGUUUGGUUUUAUUCCAUUCAGUGGUUCUCUAAAAGAAGUCAUUUGUAUGCAUUUCCCAUAGGGUCCUAUGUUAAACUAAGUCCCCCGGCUGGCGGCCAUCUUGGAUGAUGGAUCGGCAACAAAGUAACAACACUUGGUCAGCACCUCAUAAGGAACAUUCAUGCCAUGUUUGGUUUCAUUCCAUUCAGUGGUUCUCUAAAAGAAGUCAUUUGUAUGCAUUUCCCAUAGCGUCCUAUGUUAAACUAAGUCCCCUGCUGGCAGCCAUCUUGGAU
rnacentral:lncRNA from 1 species